CUUGAAUAAUUAUAAGAGGUCUAGCCUGCCCAGUGACUUUGUUCAACGGCCGCGGUACCCUAACCGUGCGAAGGUAGCGUAAUCACUUGUCUUUUAAAUGGGGACUUGUAUGAAUGGCAUCACGAGGGUUAUACUGUCUCCUUUUUCUAAUCAGUGAAACUAAUCUUCCCGUGAAGAAGCGGGAAUAAACAUAUAAGACGAGAAGACCCUAUGGAGCUUUAAACUCAAUAACAAAUACUAACCUUAUGUCAACCUUCAGAGUAUUAACCUUAAUUUUAGUAAUAUGAUUAUUAGUUUUAGGUUGGGGUGACCGCGGAGUAAAAAUUAACCUCCACAUUGAACGGGACCUGUCCCUGAGCCAAGAACUACAGCUCAAAGCACCAACAAAUUGACAUUAAUUGACCCAAUAUUUUGAUCAACGAAC
rnacentral:rRNA from 1 species